GUUAAUGUAGCUUAAAUAAAGCAAAGCACUGAAAAUGCU
rnacentral:tRNA from 1 species